rnacentral:rRNA from 1 species
UGGGGAAUUUUGGACAAUGGGCGAAAGCCUGAUCCAGCAAUGCCGCGUGUGUGAAGAAGGCCUUCGGGUUGUAAAGCACUUUUGUCCGGAAAGAAAUCCUUGGCUCUAAUACAGUCGGGGGAUGACGGUACCGGAAGAAUAAGCACCGGCUAACUACGUGCCAGCAGCCGCGGUAAUACGUAGGGUGCAAGCGUUAAUCGGAAUUACUGGGCGUAAAGCGUGCGCAGGCGGUUUGCUAAGACCGAUGUGAAAUCCCCGGGCUCAACCUGGGAACUGCAUUGGUGACUGGCAGGCUAGAGUUGGCAGGAGGGGGGUAGAAUUCCACGUGUAGCAGUGAAAUGCGUAGAGAUGUGGAGGAAUGCCGAUGGCGAAGGCAGCCCCCUGGGCCAAUACUGACGCUCAUGCACGAAAGCGUGGGGAGCAAACAGGAUUAGAUACCCUGGUAGUCCACGCCCUAAACGAUGUCAACUAGUUGUUGGGGAUUCAUUUCCUUAGUAACGUAGCUAACGCGUGAAGUUGACCGCCUGGGGAGUACGGUCGCAAGAUUAAAACUCAAAGGAAUUGACGGGGUCAUAGCUGUUUCC